rnacentral:misc_RNA from 1 species
UACGAAGGGGGCUAGCGUUGUUCGGAAUUACUGGGCGAAAAGCGCACGUAGGCGGACUAUUAAGUCAGGGGUGAAAUCCCGGAGCUCAACUCCGGAACUGCCUUUGAUACUGGUAGUCUAGAGACCGAUAGAGGUAAGUGGAACUCCUAGGGUAGGGGGGGAAUUCGUAGAUAUUAGGAAGAACAACAGUGGCGAAGGCGGCUUACUGGCUCGGAACGGACGCUGAGGUGCGAAAGCGUGGGAAGCAAACAGG